GACGAACGCUGGCGGCGUGCCUAAUACAUGCAAGUCGAACGAACUCUGGUAUUGAUUGGUGCUUGCAUCAUGAUUUACAUUUGAGUGAGUGGCGAACUGGUGAGUAACACGUGGGAAACCUGCCCAGAAGCGGGGGAUAACACCUGGAAACAGAUGCUAAUACCGCAUAACAACUUGGACCGCAUGGUCCGAGUUUGAAAGAUGGCUUCGGCUAUCACUUUUGGAUGGUCCCGCGGCGUAUUAGCUAGAUGGUGGGGUAACGGCUCACCAUGGCAAUGAUACGUAGCCGACCUGAGAGGGUAAUCGGCCACAUUGGGACUGAGACACGGCCCAAACUCCUACGGGAGGCAGCAGUAGGGAAUCUUCCACAAUGGACGAAAGUCUGAUGGAGCAACGCCGCGUGAGUGAAGAAGGGUUUCGGCUCGUAAAACUCUGUUGUUAAAGAAGAACAUAUCUGAGAGUAACUGUUCAGGUAUUGACGGUAUUUAACCAGAAAGCCACGGCUAACUACGUGCCAGCAGCCGCGGUAAUACGUAGGUGGCAAGCGUUGUCCGGAUUUAUUGGGCGUAAAGCGAGCGCAGGCGGUUUUUUAAGUCUGAUGUGAAAGCCUUCGGCUCAACCGAAGAAGUGCAUCGGAAACUGGGAAACUUGAGUGCAGAAGAGGACAGUGGAACUCCAUGUGUAGCGGUGAAAUGCGUAGAUAUAUGGAAGAACACCAGUGGCGAAGGCGGCUGUCUGGUCUGUAACUGACGCUGAGGCUCGAAAGUAUGGGUAGCAAACAGGAUUAGAUACCCUGGUAGUCCAUACCGUAAACGAUGAAUGCUAAGUGUUGGAGGGUUUCCGCCCUUCAGUGCUGCAGCUAACGCAUUAGGCAUUCCGCCUGGGGAGUACGGCCGCAAGGCUGAAACUCAAAGGAAUUGACGGGGGCCCGCACAAGCGGUGGAGCAUGUGGUUUAAUUCGAAGCUACGCGAAGAACCUUACCAGGUCUUGACAUACUAUGCAAAUCUAAGAGAUUAGACGUUCCCUUCGGGGACAUGGAUACAGGUGGUGCAUGGUUGUCGUCAGCUCGUGUCGUGAGAUGUUGGGUUAAGUCCCGCAACGAGCGCAACCCUUAUUAUCAGUUGCCAGCAUUAAGUUGGGCACUCUGGUGAGACUGCCGGUGACAAACCGGAGGAAGGUGGGGAUGACGUCAAAUCAUCAUGCCCCUUAUGACCUGGGCUACACACGUGCUACAAUGGAUGGUACAACGAGUUGCGAACUCGCGAGAGUAAGCUAAUCUCUUAAAGCCAUUCUCAGUUCGGAUUGUAGGCUGCAACUCGCCUACAUGAAGUCGGAAUCGCUAGUAAUCGCGGAUCAGCAUGCCGCGGUGAAUACGUUCCCGGGCCUUGUACACACCGCCCGUCACACCAUGAGAGUUUGUAACACCCAAAGUCGGUGGGGUAACCUUUUAGGAACCAGCCGCCUAAGGUGGGACAGAUGAUUAGGGUG
rnacentral:rRNA from 1 species